rnacentral:rRNA from 1 species
GCGACUACUUUGUGUUUCAAAGAAGUUAUGUAGACUUGUUUAGUUCUUUUUGCUGGUGGAAGAAGGAACCGUUUGGUGUUCGAGAAGCACGAGGCGGAAGGAAGCUAGCUGGGUGUCUGACAUUCGAUGAUAGCAGAUAACAAGUUCGAUCGAAAAGAAGUAAAGGAAUUAAAAUAGAGAGGACCAAAUUGUUAUAGAUAGAUCGAUCAUGACCUAAUAAGUCUAGUCUAUCAUUUGAUUAAUCAACGUACGUUUAACACUAGAAUUAAGUAGAAUUUCUUUCUUAAUGAGGUGUUAAUAAUGGUUCCUUUCACGAACGUCAUCGGAGUUCAAAAUGGUACUUCCAAUCCGCGAGAACCAACAGAAACGUUUACAACUGUGGAUGUCGAGGAACAUGCCUUUACUCUGUCUGGCCAACAGCGACGAACUCAAGUCCUUCCGUUGAGAGCUGGGUGACGUCCGGGAGCACAGGACCUUGCUGUCGUAGGUGAAGCGAACGUUUAGAGAACUGACCCUACCACAACAAACAGUUUGUUUUUUUUAGGAGCCGAGAAAUGGAACUUCUAGUUCCAAAUCAACCUUUUUAGAGGGGAAGCGAACGUUUAGAUUGCGAGGAGUUUCUAGAUAAGGAUCUGAGUCUAUUGAAGUGUCCCUUCUAGGGAGGUAGAGAACCUGUGAACGUAGCGGACGUUGCGGAGCACAACUCAUUAUUGUGUGAUGUUCCUAAGUAUGGAUCAAAACGUUUGACAAGGUUAGAGUCCCUAGAUAAAGAUUUAGCGUUAUUAGAUCAUCCCGUUUAAGGAUACCUAAAUGGAGAGUUGGAACGUAAAGACCUGGAAGUUAAAUUACUUGAAUGACCUUAGCAAGGCCUAAUGGAACCGUUAUACUGUUGUGAUAAUCAUUAAGUGACACAGAUAUUAUUAUAUGUUCCGUUGUAGGGGUUACCGAAACGUUGCGACGGGUCGGAUGUUAUGUAUUUGUACCGAUUUUUAUUCAACCACCCAUCCAAAGGUGUUCGGUAGACCUUAUAAAGAUGAGAACUAAGAGAAACGGAAAGAAUAUUAAUAGAAUGACCUCUCCACUGUAGGUUAGAGCCAUUUGUAGAUGGAUUAGAAUUCCUUGAGCAAAAUAGGCCAUUGAACAAAGUUCCCGUAUAUGGGGAAAGUAACUAUUUACGAAGGUUCGAGAGGGAGUAACUAUAUAGUUUGUUAUUAAAGUGACCCCAUCAAGGAUCGAGGUAGCCGUUUGAUUGGUUUAACAUAUUCAAUUUAAACCUCCUGUUAUUUGAGCUUCGUGUAUCACUAGUUCUGACCCUCAAAUACAUAUCGAAUCGGUUAACGAGUCUUGAUGUUUAUAAAAGCUAGUGAAGGUUAGCAGAUCUUCCGGUGAAUGGUCGAAGUAAUCCAUUGGAAAGCUUAGUCGAAGUUCAAGAUAUGGACCCUCCUUUAUUUAAUAGUACCUCAAAAGGGAGGCCGUAUGUUUUAGAACGGUUGGACUGAUCUAAUCCUAACAGUACGUUAGUUAAAUGUCCACCCUAAGGACUUACCGAACCUUCAUAGUUCUUCAAUGUUUGUUAUCCAAAUGUAGUGUUACUGAAAUGUCCCAAAGAAGGUUAUAGAGAAAGCUUAAAUAGAAAUGAUCCCUUGGAGAAAGAGUUGAGGUUAUUCAAACCACCAGAGUAUGGGGGUCCGGAUCCUUUGGAGGUUUACGAAGUUGUUAAUUUGUAAAGGCUGUUGUUAGAAGUACCAUCCCACGGUUUCCUCUAGAAAUCUUAAGGCUGUUAUAAUCGUCAACUAGAUAGAAAGUUGUUGGAACUACCUGUAGAAGGAUGGCUCUAACCGUUAAGGUCCGUCGAACGUAUAAAAAGUGAAAGUUGUUUAUUCCAUAGGCCUCUAUAAGGCUUGCGAAACCCAUUAACACUUUCGAACCUUCGGUAGAUAAACCUAAGUAUAUAAAUCGCCAUCGUAGGGGUGAAGUCAUCCGUUGGAAGUGUCGGAUUCAAAACAGUUAAAAGAUUGUUAUUGAACUUACCCAGCUAUGGUUGGAGAGAGCCGUUGGACUUUAUAGAACUCGUUGAUCUGAACAGUAAAUUGGUUGAUCUCCCCCUCCAGGGUUGUCUUCCUUAGAAGUUCUUACAUUGUUUAUACGCUUAACUACCUCUAGUACCCGAAACACCACCCCAAAAACUCAAUGUGGAUGACGGUACGGGACAAUACGGAAGUUUCGGUUGGUUAGUGUUCCGGAAGCAACAUGAGCUUCAUCACUGGGUACACCAGUAAUAUCAGAGCCAACGAUACCAGUANNNNNNNNNNNNNNNNNNNNNNNNNNUUGUCUUCUCCUUUAGAAAUAACAACGGUAGUAAACCAUCUGUUAAAGGGUUUCACAGAAAGUUACUAUAAUGAUCUCGUUGUGUCCCCAAGCGUUGUAGGUCGUAUUAACCUUCUCCCUCUAUACCAAGACAAAUAGUUCCUUUUAAUAAAGUUCUACCUUCACUACAACGGUAUUUUCAGAAGUCGGAUCUCUGUUCCCCCAGUGUCUUCUCGAAGUAGCGUCUUACAUUGCGGAAUUCUUUACACACGGUGGCAUUAGAGCAGGGAUAGAAUUGACGUACGAGUUCGUAACUAAGAUUGCCCUUACUAAAGUUUCGAGAUCACAUACUCAAGUACGGACCUCCCCUGAAUGUAUCUGAUGAUAUGAGUUGAGUUCUGCUACUCCCGAGAAGUCUGGCCUCUAUACAAUAAUGUAACCGAGUUUCCGAUUCGUAACACCACCUGCAUCGUCUACGUAACCUCAUGGAUGUGGUGUUGUUAGUUUCUUGUUAACAAGUAACGCUAUACUUCGGAUCGUUGUAAGAUAGCCUACUGUCAUACUGUCGAGUACAACCUCUAAAGCCGGAAACGUUCCAAAUUUCAAGUGUGUCAUCAUAGUAGUGCACCGCCUAGUAUGAGCUGAAGAAGAUGGAAACGUCAUUUCCCGUGUUAACCUAUACAACGAGGUCUUACACGUUGUCCGCGAGUACAAAGCUGACGAUCGUUGCAGAUAUCGAAACCUUAGCAAGAUGAACUUUAUAAGAACGCAUUCUCCGGCUGACUACUAUACAAGUUCCUACCUGACCUGUAACGUUUUAAGCAGCUCCACGUGAUAAGAAGGUUUCAUAGUGUCUAACAACUGGGACUCAAUGAUGUUCUACUUCGCCUCAAAGGGUUGCCUUCAGGUAAUCGGUACUUCUCCGUUUCCUGAACUUGACAAAUUAAAGUCACGAUUUGUAACCUGAAACGACGUGGUUCCACAGGGGCUUGCUCGCGGGGUUGUACGUCCUUCACCGACGUUCGUGAUCAUCUUUUUCCAAGUAAACAGGGCCAAGUAUUCCGAGUAAACAGGGCCAAGGGCUUGGCCCUGAUUUGACAGCCAUGAUUACGGGCCAUGAUAAUCAGGGCCAAGAAUAUGCUUGGCCCUGUCUACCCGGAGGUGCACCGGAGACGCCGAACGGGUCCGUCCCCCCGGAAAACAGGGCCAACCGCGUAGUCGUCAAGUCCUCGAC